AUGGCAGUGUACUACCGAUACAAGGACUGCCUGGAAACGUUCUCCCUGCCCGUCGCGGCGCCUUCCAUCACCGUCGGCGAGCUGAAGCGCCUUAUCAUGAAGACAGGCCGCCAUGGUCGCGGCCGGGGUCCCAGGGAGAGCCUCACGAUCUCCAGCGAGCAGACCCGCGAGGAGUACGCGGACGACAGCGCGUCGGUCCUGCGCAACUCGACGGUGGUGGUGCGACGCCGAGUGGCCGGAACUCCGGCCGAUAGCAUCGUGCUGCGGUCAUCCGACACACCCCCUCUGUGCCCUAGAUCGAGGCAAGACAGCGGUGGUUCGUCGUCGAGGUCGGCCCCGAGGUCCGCCGGAACCCAGGACGACCAGGCCAAAGCUAUCAGCGCGGUGAUCGAGAACGGCCGUCGAGCAGCGCACAACGGGCGGGCGCCGCCGGCCGGGUACGUGUGCCACAGGUGCCGCGUCCCGGGCCACUUCAUCCAGCACUGCCCCACAAACGGCGACUCCAGAUUCGACUUCGGAAGGGCUCCGGUGCCGCCUGCCCCUGGGCCGGCCGACGAGAGCAACGACGACGGCUUCCCGGCGGAUCUCCACUGCAGGAUUUGCAAGGAGGUGAUGGCCGACGCGGUGGUGGCGAGCAAGUGCUGCUUCAACAGCUUCUGCGACCGGUGCAUCCGAGCGCACAUCGUCGCCAACUCCGAGUGCGCGUGCGGGGCCAAGGCGAGCGCCGACGAUCUGAUCCCCAACCCGACGCUGCGCACCACCAUCGCCAACAUUCUCGCCGCCAGGGCCAGCAGCGCUUCGGGUGGAGCAGAGAAGCAGAGCAGCUCCGCCGCAAGCAACGAGGUCGCGGCGCCCACGCGUCAGGCUCAAAGUCCGGCAGCGUCGAACGAGAGCAGCAGCGGCAGUCACGCUUCUUCCAAGAAGGGCGCUGCCUCGGAGCGGGAGCACAGCGACGGCAAAUCGACGUCGGCUCCAGCGGCGCACGAGACAACGGACACAGCGGCCAACCAUGUCGAUCAUCAGUACGGCUACAGCGUUCCUUUUGCCCCGGUGUGCUACGACCCUUUUCUUGGUGGGAUGCCGUGGCCGGCUGAUUCUUCCAUGUACUACGGCUACGCCGGCACGCCCUACGCUUACAGCGGCGGUUACCCUGUCAACACCAUGGGCGGCAACUUGACAGUGCCACCAACAACACGGAACGACGGCGGGCCGUAUGGCUACCACGGCAGGAAGAGGACGCGCGCAGAUUGUGAGGAUCAGAGCUUCAAGAGAAGGUGCGGUGGAGGCAGAUCACAGGCCGCUUUAGUUUUGACGUAG
rnacentral:rRNA from 1 species